rnacentral:tRNA from 1 species
GGAGAGGUGGCCGAGUGGUCGAAGGCGCACGCCUGGAACGCGUGUAUACGGGAAACCGUAUCAAGGGUUCGAAUCCCUUUCUCUCCG